CCAAAUCCACAUUCUGUUGGAAUCCAACUUGUUAAUGCAUUAUUAAGGGAAGGUCCCUGCAUAAUAUUCAUUGACUGAAAAAGUACACAAACACUUUGCUUAUGUACUAGAGAAAUAGAUUUAUUCGUUUUUUUUGUCUAUAUGAAAAAGAUGCUAACAUUCCAAUAUGCAAGCAAUAUGAAUGAAAUACGCUUUUAGCAUCAAAAUACAUGUAUUACAUGCGCAAAACUGUGAAUGUACAAACUGAUUGUAAUAAAUAAAUAGUGUUAUUGG
rnacentral:misc_RNA from 1 species